GAACUCCGCAUUUAAGCGUCCUUGGGCGAGAGUAGUACUAGGAUGGGUGACCUCCUGGGAAGUCCUCGUGUUGCACCCC
rnacentral:rRNA from 1 species